GCAUCUUUGGCUUAUGAUUGCAUAAAUUUUCUUCAGUAAUCACCAAUUCCAAUAGGUAUGGUUUUGAAUUUGCCCUAGGAACAAACAGGAGGUUUGCUAUGUUGAAAUUGAAAAUGGGUGUAGUUCAGAAAUCAUUUCUUCUGUCAUGCAGCUGUUUGCUGUGUACCCUGGAGGUGACAGAUAAUGAUGAUAAGGAUGACUAACACCUUCGCUGGGCUCUCCUCGCUGCUGAGACCUACCUUCCCCUAGAGUGGUUCCCAUCUUCCCACUGGUUCACAUUCAGUUCUCCUUACUCCUUCCAGCUCUACAAGCUGUAAAAACACCUUCCAGAGUCACGUAGGGGAGAGAGAUUGUCCGCUGAAGACUCCAGAGGGGAACUGAGUCAAAUUCUCCCACGUUCACAUCACCUGGAGGACGUUUCCUUUCCCCCAGCCUCUGAUUAAUGAGACCAGACUGGUUCCUUCUGAUUAAGUAAACUAGACUUCAUUGUUCUGCUUUAUCUAUAUCAACACUGACGAAUAAAUUCUGUACUAGUUUGGAUCCAAUUCUGCAGUUUUUGUUCCAGGAUUAUCUUUUGUUUAGAUGCUGAUCGUAUAUGUUUGUUUUUCUAAAACAAUGAUUAAAAUUUAUCUUGUUA